rnacentral:rRNA from 1 species
GACAGAGGCCUCGAGCGUUAGGCGGAAUCACUGGGCUUAAAGCGUGUGUAGGCGGGCCCGUAAGUGUCUUGUGAAAUCCCACGGCUCAACCGUGGAACUGCUGGGCAUACUGCGGGUCUUGGGCCAACUAGGGGCAGCCGGGACAAGCGGUGGAGCGGUGAAAUGCGUAGAGAUCGGGAGGAACAUCAGUGGCGAAGGCGGCCAUCUGGGACAACACUGACGCUGAAGCACGAAAGCGUGGGGAGCAAACAGG